ensembl:lncRNA
UUCCGAGGACCAGUUUAAGCUUAAUUUGAACUUUAGGAUACACAGACUCCACCUAAUGCAAUACAGACCAAAACCGGAUGAAAAUAUUGUGGACUUCAUGACUAGAGCCAGAACUUUAGCAUUGAAGUGCAAAUUCACAGAAGGGGAGUUGCAUGAACGUCUCAUUGUGCUCAUCAUUGCUAGCACGCCACACAAUGCACUGAAGAACGACCUGUAUGGGAAACCUCAUGGCUACUCCCUGGCUGAUGUGUUAGAAGAAGGACGGAAAUAUUAAGCUUCAUCAGCAGGGAACCAACAGCUAAACCAGCUUGGAUUAUCCAACUCUGAAAAAGUACACGCAAUACAAAGAGGGCAAACAUGCCGGAACUGUGGCAGAAGCCACGAACCGCGUCAGUGCCCUGCAUUGAAUGAUGAAUCCUCUGCAUGUGGGGCAAAAGGGCACUGGGCAAGGUGCUGUAGAAAGAACAAACGACAAUCAAAGCAAAACUUCAGCACAAGAAGAACUUUUCCCUCUCUUGCCUGGAGACCAAUCUAGGUUGGACUCUGGUCCGGAGAAGGUCAGCGGAGAGAAGGUCUAUUUUCAGACUUGAAUCUACCGCUCCGUUGGGCCUAAAUGAUGGUGGUCCUCGCCCCCCUUCGUAACUCAUGUGUGAAGUCCUCCAACGUGGUUUUACCUUUAUCCUGACCGUGUCCUGCUUCAGGUGGUGACUGGUCUGUCUAGUUACUGGACCAGAUGAAAUGAGACGGAGAGGUAAUAAAGUCUGUCGGCACGAGGACCUUGGAUUUAUCAAGUAAAGUGGCAACGGUUAUACAGAGUCAUAAGCGUGAGAAAUCGAAUAUGUCUAAGUCCCUAAUCAGCGCUGAUGGUUCGUCCGGAGCUUCGCCUCCGUGGAAGGUCUGCUUCAGAAGAAGCAGGUUAUUUUGCCCAACAACUGCGUGUGCAGUACUGCACAACAUUUGCGUUGGUGUGGGCGAUGACCUCCCAGUGGAGGAUGGGGCCCUGGAGGGAGAUGACCCUCCUCUUGAAGGAGAAUGUGGCACGGAGUCACAGAGUGGAGCUCCUUGGCGUGCGGCACUGGCCAAUGCCAUUACCCCUCUUGAAGUGGCUCCACAGGACCACGACUACUUUGUUCUGCCUGUGACCGGACCAAGACAUACAUUUUAACAUACAUUUUUUUUAUAUUAUUUAAUCACUUUUAUCCAUUAUGAAUGUGUUUUUUGUUGUGGUUGAUCGAAUC